rnacentral:SRP_RNA from 1 species
UUGUGCCGGACAGGGAAGAUCCUGAUUCUCUCUUGGUAAUUUUCCUUAAAUACCUGUUACUUGCCGGACACUGCGCAACAGACGGUUACGAACCUCGUCAGGUCCGGAAGGAAGCAGCGAUAAGAAAUGCGGUCUGUGUCGCGGCUGAUCCCGGCAAGUAACAGUUAUUUAAGGAAAAGAAAAAAGAGGGCGCACAG